AGAAAAACAAGCUCCAGAGACUUGCUGGCAGGCACCAGACUGAUGGGUGUGUGUUCAUGGAGAAAGAAACAGGGCAAAGUAGAAGUCUUAUUUUGUCCUGGUGGCAGAAAGCCCCCGUUGUUUCCCCUCAGCUCAAAUCCAACAACCUGGAUUGAUUAGAGUGUGCACGGCAGUGUUUGUGUACGUCUGGAAGCAUGAAGCAACGCUCUGGAACGGGGCUGCACACUCAUGGGCAAUCUUACGCGAUGUCAUCAAUUAGGCCUACUCUCACCUCCAGGUUGAAAAGCCAAGGGCCAGCGAGAGAGGAAUAGCUCAUGUUCUGGCAUCUGAUGAUAUCGGGUCUGACUGAAAUAGGGCAUGAGGCUCACCCUACUGUGUAGUCAUACACAUCAGGAGGAACACAUACACAUUCAUUCUUGCAGGUAGGCUGAAAGCUAGUUUACUUGGCUGACUCAGACAUCCCUUCACUCUUAAGAACAGAGAAAGUGAAAUUCUUCAAUCAAGUGGUGCCACUUUUUUUGUUUUGUUUACACUUAUAUCGGUGAAUUAAGGUUUAAAUAAUUGUCUUCAUUCAUUAUCAUUAUCAAGCUUACCCAUUGAGGCCAGGCAAUGGAUAAGGGUUAGAAGAAAAAAAUGUUUUGCCCCCACAAAUCUGUGUAAUGUCUAUAAUUAGUACCAUUUGUUUAGAAAAUUGUCAUCAGACCUUUGUAUAACAGUGUAUUCUGUAUGGCAUAAAAAUAUAUCAAGUUACAACCAAGAAUAACUUUGUUGCGAUUGUUUUCUGGCAUACAGUAUAACAGUUUAAAUUUGACAAGCCUCAAUUUGCCUAAAAAAACCCACAGGUGAGAACACUGCUGCCUCCUUCUGAAAAACAAUACAUUCAGUUAUUUUAAAAAUCUUGCACCAGAUUUCAGGUCUUCACUUGUGUGAUUGUGUGGAAUCAGUCCUAUCUUACAAUAAGAAACUGGAUGUCAUCUUAAUCAUGCUUUUCAUCCAUUUGGUUUUCCUCAAAUCAUCCAAUUCUCUCUUUACAAUAGUGCGAGUCUCCGGUUUGUAUCUCGAAAGGUUCGUAAGUAUAGGCGUUUGUAAGUAGAGGUACCAGUGUACUGCAUUUUGAGAGAAAUAACGUGUUGGACUGUGAUCAUAGAAUAUCUGCAAUGCCGAAGAUACAUGUAUUUCACAUGUUGCGUGAACAUAUCAAACUUGCAAUGAUUUGCAACAUUAGAUUUAGGAAAGUUGUGACUGCCAUUUAAAUUUCAUCAAUAAAAAGAAAUGAAGAUUAACAGGGAGAGGAUGGUGACAUCAGCAAUGACACU